UCUAACGUCAAUCCUCUUUUCUAUUUACUAGUAUUAUUUGUUCUUAUAAGUAUAAUAUAUGAAUAAAAAUAUACUUAUUCAGUCACGUCUGUUGAUAAACAGUCGUAAAAUACAAAUAAAAUCGCUCCAAAUAAUAACACAGUGUGCAAAAUAAUCGUAGUUUCACAAUGCUGAAAACGCAGCCCCUCACUAUUCUUUUAUUUAUGCUAUUUUUUCAGGUGAAGUUGCACAAUUCGGAGCCCAUUUUAAAUGACGCGAUAACAUUUCUAGAACACAUGACUCCAGUUAGUAUAAGCACAUCAACAGCCGCCAUCGUUUCAGAGCUGGAAAAACAGGUUAUCCGUCAAAAACAUGGCGACAGAAAAGUGAAGCGAUAUUUCAGCAAAUUUGAUUCUCCUUUCACCACAUCAAGAAACCACCAUCAUAAAAAAUACAAAUAACUAAAUUUAAAUCUCGCGUGUUCCUCCAGUUUCAUUUGGAGCUGUGAAGCCGCGAAACCUGGAGACAGCGUAAGAAGUGCAUUUAAAAAUUUCGGAAAUUCGGCUGUGAUUUUGAAAUGGGCCGCGCCUGCCUGAUGUCAACCCCCUUUGGCAAUGCUAUUAUUUGCCUAUCGGUUGCCUAAUUAUAUGUACCCCUUAGUCGUCUUGUCCGACAUCCAAUUAUAGAAUAGUUAUUCUUAUUCUAGGACGGGAUCCGUCAUAAAUAGGUACCUAACUAAAUUUAAGUAACAGCUACUUAAGUUAUUAUAAGACAUAAUUUUAAUGAGUUUCAUCAUAAUAAGCACCAAAUCACUCGUAUAUAAUAAGCACCAAAGUUUUUAUUAACUAAUAAAAAUUG